rnacentral:rRNA from 1 species
AGCAGUAGCCGCGUAAUACGUAGGGUGCAAGCGUUAAUCGGAAUUACUGGGCGUAAAGCGUGCGCAGGCGGUUAUAUAAGACAGAUGUGAAAUCCCCGGGCUCAACCUGGGAACUGCAUUUGUGACUGUAUAGCUAGAGUACAACAGAGGGGGAUGGAAUUCCGCGUGUAGCAGUGAAAUGCGUAGAUAUGCGGAGGAACACCGAUGGCGAAGGCAAUCCCCUGGGCCUGUACUGACGCUCAUGCACGAAAGCGUAGGGAGCAAAUGGGAUUAGAUACCCCUGUAGUCCCUGUCUCUUAUACA